rnacentral:lncRNA from 1 species
CUAAGACUGCUCCCCAGUUUGAAGAGGUCUAGGUGGCAGUGCCCAAAAUCAGAAGCUACAGAAUGAAAGCAGGCUCAGAAAAGAAGGCUGAGGAACAUGGAGCACGUCAGUCAAGGUCUUGUGGUUCAAUUCCUGGCUGGAAAUUGGCGAUGGUAGAAUGGCUGUUCGGAGUGAAGAGGCCUCUGGUUGUUCACGCGCCACAGUUCCACAGCCGGACAAUGCUCGCAGUUCGCUAGACUGAUGAUCUUCUUUCACGUCCUCCGCCUUUGCAAACAGUAUUCUCUCAGUCUGAACAUUGCUUGUUGCCAACCCUUCAUUGUCAUCCCUACUGCCCCUCACCUACCUCUAACUCGUUCAUCUGUAACUUCCUUCUUUCCA